rnacentral:rRNA from 1 species
GACGAACGCUGGCGGCGUGCCUAAUACAUGCAAGUAGAACGCUGAAGAGAGGAGCUUGCUCUUCUUGGAUGAGUUGCGAACGGGUGAGUAACGCGUAGGUAACCUGCCUUGUAGCGGGGGAUAACUAUUGGAAACGAUAGCUAAUACCGCAUAACAAUGGAUGACACAUGUCAUUUAUUUGAAAGGGGCAAUUGCUCCACUACAAGAUGGACCUGCGUUGUAUUAGCUAGUAGGUGAGGUAACGGCUCACCUAGGCGACGAUACAUAGCCGACCUGAGAGGGUGAUCGGCCACACUGGGACUGAGACACGGCCCAGACUCCUACGGGAGGCAGCAGUAGGGAAUCUUCGGCAAUGGGGGCAACCCUGACCGAGCAACGCCGCGUGAGUGGAGAAGGUUUUCGGAUCGUAAAGCUCUGUUGUAAGUCAAGAACGAGUGUGAGAGUGGAAAGUUCACACUGUGACGGUAGCUUACCAGAAAGGGACGGCUAACUACGUGCCAGCAGCCGCGGUAAUACGUAGGUCCCGAGCGUUGUCCGGAUUUAUUGGGCGUAAAGCGAGCGCAGGCGGUUUGAUAAGUCUGAAGUUAAAGGCUGUGGCUCAACCAUAGUUCGCUUUGGAAACUGUCAAACUUGAGUGCAGAAGGGGAGAGUGGAAUUCCAUGUGUAGCGGUGAAAUGCGUAGAUAUAUGGAGGAACACCGGUGGCGAAAGCGGCUCUCUGGUCUGUAACUGACGCUGAGGCUCGAAAGCGUGGGGAGCGAACAGGAUUAGAUACCCUGGUAGUCCACGCCGUAAACGAUGAGUGCUAGGUGUUGGAUCCUUUCCGGGAUUCAGCGCCGCAGCUAACGCAUUAAGCACUCCGCCUGGGGAGUACGACCGCAAGGUUGAAACUCAAGGGAAUUGACGGGGGCCCGCACAAGCGGUGGAGCAUGUGGUUUAAUUCGAAGCAACGCGAAGAACCUUACCAGGUCUUGACAUCCCGAUGCUAUUUCUAGAGAUAGAAAGUUACUUCGGUACAUCGGUGACAGGUGGUGCAUGGUUGUCGUCAGCCCGUGUCGUGAGAUGUUGGGUUAAGUCCCGCAACGAGCGCAACCCCUAUUGUUAGUUGCCAUCAUUCAGUUGGGCACUCUAGCGAGACUGCCGGUAAUAAACCGGAGGAAGGUGGGGAUGACGUCAAAUCAUCAUGCCCCUUAUGACCUGGGCUACACACGUGCUACAAUGGUUGGUACAACGAGUUGCGAGUCGGUGACGGCAAGCUAAUCUCUUAAAGCCAAUCUCAGUUCGGAUUGUAGGCUGCAACUCGCCUACAUGAAGUCGGAAUCGCUAGUAAUCGCGGAUCAGCACGCCGCGGUGAAUACGUUCCCGGGCCU